rnacentral:rRNA from 1 species
UGCCUGGCGGCAUUAGCGAGUUGGAACCACCCGUUUCCAUCCCGAACACGGAAGUGAAACGACUCAGCGCCGAUGAUAGUGUGGCAAGACCAUGCGAGAGUAGGUCACUGCCAGGCUCUUA